UAUCUCUGUAGAGUCUGCAUAUCAAUAAGCGGAGGAAAAGAAACUAACUAGGAUUCCCUCAGUAACGGCGAGUGAAGCGGGAAGAGCUCAAAUUUGAAAUCUUCAAGGUUCUACCUUGACGAAUUGUAGUUUAAAGAAGUGUUUUCUGUUGGUGUUUUGGUAAAAGUUCUUUGGAAUAGGACAUCAUAGAGGGUGAGAAUCCCGUAUUUGACCAUUACUUCCAGCGUUGUGAUACACUUUCAAAGAGUCGGAUUGUUUGGGAAUGCAGUCCAAAAUGGGUGGUAAAUUUCAUCUAAAGCUAAAUAUUGGCGAGAGACCGAUAGCGAACAAGUACCGUGAGGGAAAGAUGAAAAGAACUUUGAAAAGAGAGUUAAACAGUACGUGAAAUUGUCAAAAGGGAAGCGUUUGACACCAGUGUUGUUUUCUCGAAAAUCAAUUAAAAAAAGUUGGAUUUUGUAUUGUUAAGACCUUAUCAGCUUACUGUACUCUUUUCUUGCUUUUUUUAAUGCACUUUUCGUUUAACAAGUCGACAUCAAUUUCUUUUGUUGUAAAAGAGUCAUUGGAAGGUGGCUUUCACUUCGGUGAAAGUGUUUAUAGCCUUUGACUUCUGCAAUCGGAGAGAUUGAGGUCUGCAGCGUAGAUCCUUCGGGGUUAGAUACAUUUGUGCUAAGUUAUAGCCUUUCAUAGACAACUUGUUGACUAUGAUCAGUCAUGUAGCUUACUCGCUUAUGCUAUUUUACCUACGCUUAGGAUGUUGAUAGUCACAGCGUGUAC
rnacentral:rRNA from 1 species